rnacentral:rRNA from 1 species
GCGAAUCGCCCUUCGGGGUGCGCAGGCGCGAAAACUCCACAAUGCGCGAAAGCGUGAUGGGGUUACCCCGAGUGCCAUCCGAUGAGGAUAGCUUUUCCCCAGUUUAAGGAGCUGGGGGAAUAAAGGGGGGGCAAGACUGGUGUCAGCCGCCGCGGUAAUACCAGCCCCCUGAGUGAUAGGGACGAUUAUUUAGCCUAAAGCGUCCGUAGCCGGCUUAGAAAGUCUUUCGUUAAAUCUAACGGCUUAACCGUUAGGCCGCGGAAGAUACUUCUAGGCUAGAGGGCGGGAGAGGUUGACGGUAUUCCCGGGGUAGGGGUGAAAUCCUAUAAUCCCGGGAGGACCACCAGUGGCGAAGGCGGUCAACUAGAACGCGCCUGACGGUGAGGGACGAAAGCUGGGGGAGCGAACCGGAUUAGACACCCGGGUAGUCCCAGCUGUAAACGAUGCGGGCUAGGUGUUGGGGCAGCUACGAGCAGCUCCAGUGCCGCAGAGAAGUUGUUAAGCCCGCCGCUUGGGAAGUACGGCCGCAAGGCUGAAACUUAAAGGAAUUGGCGGGGGAGCAC